rnacentral:misc_RNA from 1 species
CGCACCUUGCACCUUUCAGUUUUCUGAAAGGUACACCUGUUUGAGUAUCAUUAAUAUCAUCCACUCUUUUAACUUUGAUGUUGAAGAGCUGGGAAUUUGGGAGCUUUGCAGCUACACAACCUUAGCGAGCUGCUCUCCUUGAAUAUAUUAGCGGGUAGAACCAAUAAAAGCUUAUUGAAGUGAUAAUAACAAUGUCUAUUCAUAAAGUGUUUGGCCUCUUACACCUGCUUUCAAACCCCUAAUCUAUAUACUCUUGAUCUCAAAUCAGGUGGGAUUACCCGCUGAACUUAA